UGCCAGCCGCCGCGGUAAUACGGAGGGUCCAAGCGUUAUCCGGAUUUAUUGGGUUUAAAGGGUCCGUAGGCGGGAAAAUAAGUCAGUGGUGAAAGCCUGCAGCUCAACUGCAGAACUGCCAUUGAAACUGUUUUUCUUGAAUAUAGAUGAAGUGGGCGGAAUAUAUCAUGUAGCGGUGAAAUGCAUAGAUAUGAUAUAGAACACCGAUUGCGAAGGCAGCUCACUAACAACGCAUUGACGCUGAGGGACGAAAGCGUGGGGAGCGAACAGGAUUAGAUA
rnacentral:rRNA from 1 species